ACGGCCACAUCACGUCGAAGCACCGAUUCCCGUACGAUCACGGGAGUUAAGUAACGUCGAACCUGAUCAAUAUCUAGAUGGGUGCCUGCUUGGGAAUAUCAGGUGUUGUAAG